ACACGACUCUCGGCAACGGAUAUCUCGGCUCUCGCAUCGAUGAAGAACGUAGCGAAAUGCGAUACCUGGUGUGAAUUGCAGAAUCCCGCGAACCAUCGAGUCUUUGAACGCAAGUUGCGCCCGAGGCCACCCGGUCGAGGGCACGCCUGCCUGGGCGUCAC
rnacentral:rRNA from 1 species